UGAGGAAUAUUGCGCAAUGGGCGAAAGCCUGACGCAGCAACGCCGCGUGGGUGAAGAAGGCCUUCGGGUUGUAAAGCCCUUUUCUGAGAGACGAGGAAGGACGGUAUCUCAGGAAUAAGCCUCGGCUAACUACGUGCCAGCAGCCGCGGUAAUACGUAGGAGGCGAGCGUUAUUCGGAUUUACUGGGCGUAAAGCGCGUGCAGGCGGUCAAGCAAGUCGGAUGUGAAAUCUCCUGGCUUAACUAGGAGGGGUCGUUCGAAACUGCUAGACUAGAGUAAGGGAGAGGAAAGCGGAAUUCCCGGUGUAGUGGUGGAAUGCGUAGAUAUCGGGAGGAACACCUGUGGCGAAAGCGGCUUUCUGGCCCUUGACUGACGCUGAGACGCGAAAGCGUGGGGAGCGAACAGG
rnacentral:rRNA from 1 species